GUUGAAACACCGGUUCUCGUACGAUUUCUGAAGUUAAGCAACGUCAAAGCUGGUCAGUACCUAGAUGGGUAACUACUUGGGAAUACCAGAAGUUGUAA